rnacentral:misc_RNA from 1 species
GUGAAUCAUCAAAUUUUUGAACGCAAAUUGCACUCUCCUCGGAGAGUAUGCCUGAUUGAGGGUCAGCCUAUAAAAAAUCGACAUCGUUGCUGUUUCGCGGUGGCGUUCGUCGGAAAUUGGGUCAUCUUAAAUCUUUGGGUUUUAGGCGACUAAAAUUUUCUUUUUUGUUUCAUUAAAGGUUUCUAGGUUUUUUUUCUUUAACGGUUUAGGGU